GACGAACGCUGGCGGCGUGCUUAACACAUGCAAGUCGAACGGAAAGGCCCUGCUUUUGUGGGGUGCUCGAGUGGCGAACGGGUGAGUAACACGUGAGUAACCUGCCCUUGACUUUGGGAUAACUUCAGGAAACUGGGGCUAAUACCGGAUAGGAGCUCCUGCUGCAUGGUGGGGUUGGAAAGUUUCGGCGGUUGGGGAUGGACUCGCGGCUUAUCAGCUUGUUGGUGGGGUAGUGGCUUACCAAGGCUUUGACGGGUAGCCGACCUGAGAGGGUGACCGGCCACAUUGGGACUGAGAUACGGCCCAGACUCCUACGGGAGGCAGCAGUGGGGAAUAUUGCACAAUGGGCGGAAGCCUGAAGCAGCAACGCCGCGUGCGGGAUGACGGCCUUCGGGUUGUAAACCGCUUUCGCCUGUGACGAAGCGUGAGUGACGGUAAUGGGUAAAGAAGCACCGGCUAACUACGUG
rnacentral:rRNA from 1 species